GAUGGACCACAUCCUCACACUGUGAACCAAAGCAGUCCCUCCAUUGAGUUGCUUUUCAGCUUUUUUGUUUGGGUUUUGCAAUUCUGAAAAUCCAUCCCAGCCAAACAUUGAGUUAUGCCCUCAGUCCUUCAGUGGCCUUUUGUCACGGCAGUGAAAAGUGUCUGUCUCCAGAUGGCUCGUUAGACCCAAGAAGCAAUUCUCUUUCAUUUAUAAUAUCUGCAAGUAUUUGAAUUGAUACUGAUAUCUUCAGAUUUUAUUGAAAGCUGCUGUGCAGGUCCCAGCUAUUCCAUGCCUUCAUGGCAGAUGAGAAGUGUGUGGCUGUCUGCAAGCAGAGUGUGAAAGAUGGCACAGAUUGUUUUCUUAGGUGCACACAGGCUGACCCUGAAGAUGCACACGUGCCAUUGAAAUAAACCAAGAGUAUUGUGUGGCUUCCAGAGCCCUGCCUGUUCAUGCACCUCUUCCUCUUCCACUCGAACUCAUGUUAGCAGAUCACCAGUUUUAUUACUUGACAACAGUACAGUCAUCAGCACCAG
ensembl:processed_transcript predicted gene 12655